rfam:Trachymyrmex septentrionalis contig17197, whole genome shotgun sequence.
CAAACGGCCCUUCUCAGGGCCAAUCUAUUCCUUAUACAUAAAAUGU